CGUAGGUGGCAAGCGUUGUUCGGAAUUAUUGGGCGUAAAGGGCGCGUAGGCGGUUUGUUAAGUCCGGUUGUGAAAGCCCGGGGCUCAACCCCGGAGAGUCGACCGAUACUGGCAGACUAGAGUACAGAAGAGGUAGCUGGAAUUCCUGGUGUAGCGGUGAAAUGCGUAGAUAUCAGGAGGAACACCUGAGGCGAAGGCGGGCUACUGGGCUGAUACUGACGCUGAUGCGCGAAAGCCAGGGGAGCAAACGGGAUUAGAUACCCCGGUAGUCCUGGCCCUAAACGAUGGACACUUGGUGUGUCGGGUAUUCAAGUCCCGGCGUGCCGGAGUUAACGCGUUAAGUGUCCCGCCUGGGGAGUACGGUCGCAAGGCUG
rnacentral:rRNA from 1 species